rnacentral:rRNA from 1 species
ACACUCCUACGGGAGGCAGCAGUGGGGAAUAUUGGACAAUGGGCGCAAGCCUGAUCCAGCCAUGCCGCGUGAGUGAUGAAGGCCCUAGGGUUGUAAAGCUCUUUCACCGGUGAAGAUAAUGACGGUAACCGGAGAAGAAGCCCCGGCUAACUUCGUGCCAGCAGCCGCGGUAAUACGAAGGGGGCUAGCGUUGUUCGGAUUUACUGGGCGUAAAGCGCACGUAGGCGGACUAUUAAGUCGGGGGUGAAAUCCCGGGGCUCAACCCCGGAACUGCCUUUGAUACUGGUAGUCUUGAGUUCGAGAGAGGUGAGUGGAAUUCCGAGUGUAGAGGUGAAAUUCGUAGAUAUUCGGAGGAACACCAGUGGCGAAGGCGGCUCACUGGCUCGAUACUGACGCUGAGGUGCGAAAGCGUGGGGAGCAAACAGGAUUAGAAACCCUGGUAGUCCCAUGAU